GCAGAAGAGCUGAGAAUUGGGAACCAUGAUGUAACCCCCCGAUGGAAUCCAGACACCGGUGGCGGUGGAGAAGGCCGGAAGACCAGGCCGAGGGGGCACUGGAGUGAC